GGAAAAUAACGUACCAUAUCUUGGAAUCUGUUUAGGGAUGCAGAUUUCUGUAAUCGAGUUUGCCAGAUCUGUUUUGGGUUUGGAGAAAGCAAAUAGUGAAGAGUUUGACUCCCAGACGCCGGACCUUGUUGUAAUUUUCAUGCCUGAGGGGUCAAAAACACAUAUGGGAAGCACUAUGAGGCUUGGAUCUAGGAAAACACUCUUCCGGACUCCUGAUUGUAUCAUGUCAAAGUUGUAUAACAAUUCUAAGCAUGUGGAUGAAAGACAUCGCCAUAGAUAUGAGGUCAAUCCUGAAGUUGUAGGCAUUUUAGAAGAAGCUGGCCUUACAUUUGUGGGAAGAGAUGAAACUGGAAAACGAAUGGAGAUAUUGGAGCUUCCUGGUCACCCAUUUUAUGUUGGUGUGCAAUUCCAUCCUGAAUACAAGUCAAGGCCAGGGAGGCCUUCAGCUCCUUUUCUAGGUCUUAUCAUGGCAGCAACAGGACAGUUAGAAGCUUACGUCAGGAGUCAGCAGAAUGGAAGCAUAUAGGCAAAACAUCAGCGCUAACUAGUUGGAUAACUUUUUGCUCACAAGGUAAUCUGAUUUUGUGGUGUGAACCUCCCCGUUCUCUUAAGCUUGUCGUGAGAUUAAUGUGGAUGCACAUUUUUUGUUCUGCCUGUCGACACAAAGCCCCCUCAAGUAUGAAGCUGCGUGCUAUGGCUGUCAAUCAUUUGGAAGUGGCUUAGCUGAUACCCAUCUUCUUGUUAUUCGCCAACCUUGUUGACGAUAGAUAAUUUUGAAGAUAUAGUUUGAGUGCUUUAGUUCUCUACUGCAUUUGGGUUGUCACCUCAUUUUUGUUCUUUUUUCCCCCCUUCAAAAUUAAGAAUUGUUUAGAGGUUGGCAGUGCUUUAUACAUUUACUG
rnacentral:misc_RNA from 1 species